UGGGGAAUAUUGGACAAUGGGCGGAAGCCUGAUCCAGCCAUGCCGCGUGUGUGAAGAAGGCCUUUUGGUUGUAAAGCACUUUAAGUGAGGAGGAGGCUACUUGGAUUAAUACUCUAGGAUAGUGGACGUUACUCGCAGAAUAAGCACCGGCUAACUCUGUGCCAGCAGCCGCGGUAAUACAGAGGGUGCGAGCGUUAAUCGGAUUUACUGGGCGUAAAGCGUGCGUAGGCGGCUUCUUAAGUCGGAUGUGAAAUCCCUGAGCUUAACUUAGGAAUUGCAUUCGAUACUGGGAAGCUAGAGUAUGGGAGAGGAUGGUAGAAUUCCAGGUGUAGCGGUGAAAUGCGUAGAGAUCUGGAGGAAUACCGAUGGCGAAGGCAGCCAUCUGGCCUAAUACUGACGCUGAGGUACGAAAGCAUGGGGAGCAAACAGG
rnacentral:rRNA from 2 species